GUAAGACCGGAGCUCUGUUUCAGUCUCUCCUCUCCCCCUCUGUCCAUCUGUCUCUCUGUGCCUCUGUCUCUCUGUCCAUCCCUCUAUAUCUCUCUGUCCAUCUACCUCUCCGUGUCCCGCUCUCUCUCUCUCCCUCUCUCUUAACAACAGGAACUCCCCCCAGGCUGCCCCAGUGAAUCCGAGUGAACUGACAUUGUCUCAACAGCCUUUGCUCCACCCUUGAUUACAAACUUUCACUGAAGCCCCACAUUAGAACUAUAAACCAGCUUCAUCCUGGCUCCUAAGUGCUUCAUGCAAAACAGUGAGGGCUGCAAGCGCAGUGGAGGAAACGGAUCAUCACCGAGCCGCCCCUGCCAGCCCCAGCCCGGCUUCACCUGCAAACGCACGUGGUCCUCCGGACGGACCACAGCUCAUUCCUCUCCAAAGGAUGCUCUGCUGCUGCUGCUGCUGCUGCUAAGUCACUUCAGUCAUGUCCGACUGUGUGCGACCCCACAGACGGCAGCCCACCAGGCUCCCCCGUCCCUGGGAUUCUCCAGGCAAGAACACUGGAGUGGGUUGCCAUUUCCUUCUCCAGUGCACGAAAGUGAAAAUGAAAGUGAAGUCGCUCAGUCGUGUCCGACUCUUAGCGACCCCAUGGACUGCAGCCUACCAGACUCCUCCAUCCAUGGAUUUUCCAGGCAAGAGUACUGGAGUGGGGUGCCAUUGCCUUCUCCAAAGGAUGCUCUAACAACUUUAUUUUAGGUGCUUUUUCAGUUACCUGGCUUUCCCAAGGGUCUCCCCAGCAUCUACCAACAGACAGGCACUGUAUGAAGCCCGGCUUGGCUCUCAGGUGGAUGGACGGUCCCGUGAACACCAGUCCAGGAGAAGAAGAAAAAGGGAUUGUGAUUCUAUAAUGAAGAGAGUCGCAAGUUUCUGUCCUUAAAAGACAGCACCUGGGGACCGUUUCAGAAACGAAAACCUCCGUUCACGCCCUCACUCGCUCUUCUGGUCCCAACAAGGGAACAGAAACUCAUAUGGCAAGAAGUAAAACCAAAUUCUGAAAUGAUUCUUACGAAAUAUCUUUGCCUGCCCGGAGGCAUGAAUGGAUACACCAGCUUAAACUGCGCCUCGAAAACUGCUAUCUCCACUUCCUACUCCUCCUCUCUGCCGCCUCGCUCUCCGCCUCUUCCUCCAUGACUUUAUUUCAAAUACUGUUUCCUCUUUAAAGCUUGCUUGUUAAAUCAACUGUAUGCUAAUAAAAAUUAUUUUUAAAUUUUUUUAAAAAAGAAUAAAAGUUGCUUGUUUAUGC
ensembl:lncRNA